AGAAGAGCCAGGUUAGAGGAAAUGCUGCUGAAAGGCUGGGUUAUGAAGAUAACCCUCAAACUACUAGAAAGGGAGCCCUAAGUUUUGGCGCAGUGAGCAGGGUGUGAUUGAGAAUCCUCGAAGAGUUUCUCACAACCAAGGAUAGAGAAUUAUGUUCCAGGGUCCCUCUGUUUGGGCAGAAAAUAAGCUGUCUUGCAGUUCGAUGCCUGCUCAUCUUUGCCCAUCUAUCCAGGUUACCAUCAAUUUCCUCCACUUACCAAGCAAUACCCGCUCAGACCUGAGGCCAUGGAUGCAGUAGGUAACAAAUGUGACUCCCCACGUUAAUCCUCCUGGCAAACAUACCUGAUGCAGCUUCCUGGGAUCUGCCCUUGGUACAUGUUACACAAGAUAGCUGUUUCAAAGCUGGCCAGUAUGUGCAACUCCCUACAGGAGGCGGCAGUGAAUGGAUAAAAAACCCAGACACUUAGCUUGUCCCCAGACCAGACCACCUGGGACCUAUUGUGGUUACAGCUCGCCUCCAAAAACAUCCAGGCUCCAAGUUCUUAAUCUGACUUCCACAGCCCAGCAGCAGCCUUCGGCUCCCUCCCUGCAUUUCACCGGAUCUGGAUUGUAACUGGACGGUGAAGUUGCUGUACAAGUAUCACUACCCAGUGGUGUUUUAUCACCGCUGCAUCUUAUUACAUGUACGGACCAUUACAGUGCCAGGCAAACGCUUCCAUGUGCCUGCAGAUUACUGACUCAUUUACCCUAGGUGAUGUGCAUCUCCCCGGCCAUGUGUUCACUGGAAUGACAACAGCUCCUAGGUGGUAUAACAAUCUACGCCUAGACAAUGCACCGGUUCAACUAGCCAAGGAGCUACUACUCAAAGUGGUCCUGGCUGCUGCAUCAGCAUUUACCACCGUUCAUAACCACAUCACCAAAGGUCAUAUUCAAGUCCAGCUCUCCAAUCAAACAAUCACCUGAGUGAAAGAUCCUGUUUGUAAUGCAUCUUACAGUCCCAUCUCCUGGUGGACAGCUGUCCAAAUAACAGCUGCUGUCACUUCUAUAUUUGUGUUACUAACCUCACUUGUCAUGUGUGGGUACUUCAUACACAUGCUUAAAAAUCUGUUUCCUACCUUUACCCGUUCCCCUCUCCCACCUUCCUCGGGCAACCCUAAAACAGAUCCUGUAUAUAAAAGUAUUUAAAGUAUUGACUUUAUCUCACUUAAAAGUUCAAUUGGUCAAAAGGAAGGAAUUGUCAGGAGUUAAAAUUUAGCCAGCAGAGAAGAGAGAAGCUGCUGAGAAACAAGGACAUAGCUAAAUUAUCAUGUGCUGACAGAGACUAAAAGCUAAAACAACUGCAGAACAAGCAGGAAUGUUUCAGUAGCUCAAAAGGCACUGACAAUUUUAAACAAUUGAUAAGCUUAUAUGGUUAAUGCCCAUCUAGUAACUUAGUUCCUAGAACAGAAUAAACCCUCCCUUCACAGCCCACCGGAUAUCUGUAAGCAUUCAUCGCUACUCCCCGCCCCCACCACACCACCUUCUGACGUAAGUCAUAGAUGUUUGAUGCAAUUAGGAUGACCUAUAUGUACGUACUGUUCUUAUUUUUAUCUUUGUUCAGGGUUCUCUCUUGACUUGUAACAAUGUAUGUCUCUGUAUGUACAGAUAAAUGCAAAGGAAUUGGUAAGAGAAUGUAUAUAACAGGCCUCGGUGGCACCAUAUUUUUGAAGCUGCUUGUCAGUCUUCCUGGUACUGUAAAUAA